GGAUCCGUAGUGUAAUGGUUAACACAUCGCCCUGUCACGGCGAAAAUUACCGGUUCGAGCCCGGCCGGGUCCG
rnacentral:tRNA from 3 species